rnacentral:tRNA from 1 species
GGUUCGAUGGUGUAGUUGGUUAUCACGUCUGUCUCACAUAAAACCCCAAAAUGGCGGUGCACAGGAGGUCUCCGGUUCGAACCCGGGUCGAACCA